GAGAGAUCUAAGGCUUCGGUCUUAAUUUCGGCUGUGCGCUCAGGCUGCACGCCGAUAAACCUUYUCAACACCCUGUGCAACCUUUUUCGGGUUGCGGGUUUCGGCCCGCUUCCGCUUUUACAAUGCAACCACGAAAAGUCUAGAAUGUGAAGARAACUAUAAAGUAACAACUUUCAACAACGGAUCUCUUGGCUCUCGCAUCGAUGAAGAACGCAGCGAAAUGCGAAUUAAGUAAUGUGAAUUGCAGAAUUCAGUGAAUCAUCGAAUCUUUGAACGCACCUUGCGCUCCUUGGUAUUCCAUGGAGCAUGCCUGUUUGAGUGUCACGUAAACCCUCACCCCCUGCGAUGUAACAGUCGCCUGCGGUGGACUUGGACCGUGCCGGUAAUCGGCUCGUCUUGAAAUGCAUUASCUGGYGCUUUUUAGAGUGCUGGGCGAACGGGUGUGAUAAAUUAUYUGCGCCGACUGGCCMUGGGGGCCUCUUCAGCGGGMGCCUGCUUAACAGGCCGUCCCCUUGUGGACAACUAUUUUAAAGCUUUGGCCUCAAAUUCAGGUAGGACUACCAGCUGACUGAA
rnacentral:rRNA from 1 species